rnacentral:rRNA from 1 species
GAGAGAGACAUGCGCGCAUAUCAAUAAGCGGAGGAAAAGAAACUAACAAGGAUUCCCCUAGUAACGGCGAGUGAAGCGGGAAGAGCUCAAAUUUGAAAUCUUAAAGGGUUUCCCUUUACGAAUUGUAGUUUAAAGAAGUGUUUUCUGUUGAGGUUUUGGUAAAAGUUCUUUGGAAUAGGACAUCAUAGAGGGUGAGAAUCCCGUAUUUGACCUUUACUUUCAACUUUGUGAUACACUUUCAAAGAGUCGGAUUGUUUGGGAAUGCAGUCCAAAAUGGGUGGUAAAUUUCAUCUAAAGCUAAAUAUUGGCGAGAGACCGAUAGCGAACAAGUACCGUGAGGGAAAGAUGAAAAGAACUUUGAAAAGAGAGUUAAACAGUACGUGAAAUUGUCAAAAGGGAAGCGUUUGACACCAGUGUUGUUUUUCUGAAAAUCAAUUAAAGAACUGUUUAUGCUAAGUUGUUUAGACUUUAUCAGCUAACUGUUUAGUUUUGAGCUUUUCUUUAAUGCACUUUUCAGUUAACAAGUCAACAUCAAUUUCUUUUGCUGUAAAAAAGCUUGAGGAAGGUGGCUUGAGAUUCGUCUUAAGUGUUUAUAGCCUCUUGCCUAUGCAGUCGGAGAGAUUGAGGUCUGCAGCGUAGAUCCUUCGGGGCUAAAUGCAUUUGUGCUAAGUUAUAGCAUUUUAUAGACAACUUGUUGACUAUGAUUUGUCUUGUAGCUUACUCGCUUAUGUUACUUUUACCUACGCUUAGGAUGUUGAGCGCAUGUCUCUCUCU